rnacentral:lncRNA from 1 species
GAGAGAGUCAACGAGAGUCCGAAAAUCCAGCAUCCAGCAGAGCCAGGUCUCCGCCUGCCUCCUCCUUCUAGCGCCCCCUCUCCUCUCCUCUCCUCUCCUCUCCUCUCCUCUCNCUCCUCUCCUCUCCUCUCCUCUCCUCUCCUCUCCUCUCUCCUCCGCUCCGCUCUUUUUUUCUCCUUCUUCCUGCGGCUGCUGCUGCUGCUGCUCCCGGGCGCGCUCUCUGUUCCUGAGCCGCUGCUCCGUUUCCCCUCCUCCUCCUUCUUCUCCUCCUCCUCCUCCUCCUCCUUCUUCUCCUCCCCCCCCUCCCUCUCCUUCUUCCUUCCCCCUUCGCCUUUUUUCUUUCUUUCUUCCUUCUCUCUUUCAGCAGAUUAUUUGGCUACAGAUAGCAGCGAGGUCGCCCACCCAGGCUCCAACUCUACCGCCCCUCCUCCUGGAGAGAAAGAAAAAAAAGAAAAAAAAAGAAAGUGCGGUGCAAACAAAAGCGAGGGGGGAUGGUUCGCGGCGGACAAAAAUCCUGAGGAAGCUUCCUCGAGAGCCCCGGCACCGGCAGCCCUUCCCUGCCCGUCCGCUCCUCCGAGGGAGCACGAGGGCAACGGGGCGAGCGGUGCAGCGAACGCGCUGCUGGAGAUGGCACUCUCUUCCUCCCUCUGUUUUAUGCACGGUUUGUUGGUGGUGGUUGGUUGCUGUUUGUUUUUAAUCCUCUUAGGAUAUGUGGACAGCAGGAUGCGUACGGCCUCGAGUGUUGGGAAAAGCUUGUUGCCGAGGGAGAGUGAGGGAGUGAGCGAGGGAGCGAGCGAGGGAGCGAGCGAUGCAAAGAGCUCUGUAUGGAUGGAGCAGCAGCAGCCAGAGCCCAGCCCGGCCUGCCCCGCCGGCAGGAGGGGUACGAGCACCCCGCGCCGAACCCACCCAGACACAGACACACACACAGACACACACACAGACACACACACAGACACACACACAGACACACACAGACACACACAGACACACACAGACACACACAGACACACACACCACGCUCGCACACGCGGGGGGAGGCGGGGAGGGAGGGUGACGUCACUCCGCUCCGGCCCGGGGCGCAUCCCGGCGGGCAGCGGGCGGGGCAGGGCCGGGCCGCGCUGCUCCUGGCUGCCGAGGCCCGCCGGCUUCGGCAAGUCGUGA